GACGAACGCUGGCGGCGUGCCUAAUACAUGCAAGUAGAACGCUGAAGGAGGAGCUUGCUCUUCUGGAUGAGUUGCGAACGGGUGAGUAACGCGUAGGUAACCUGCCUGGUAGCGGGGGAUAACUAUUGGAAACGAUAGCUAAUACCGCAUAACAACAGUUGUUGCAUGACAGCUGUUUAAAAGAUGCAAUUGCAUCACUACCAGAUGGACCUGCGUUGUAUUAGCUAGUUGGUGAGGUAACGGCUCACCAAGGCAACGAUACAUAGCCGACCUGAGAGGGUGAUCGGCCACACUGGGACUGAGACACGGCCCAGACUCCUACGGGAGGCAGCAGUAGGGAAUCUUCGGCAAUGGACGGAAGUCUGACCGAGCAACGCCGCGUGAGUGAAGAAGGUUUUCGGAUCGUAAAGCUCUGUUGUAAGAGAAGAACGAGUGUGAGAGUGGAAAGUUCACACUGUGACGGUAUCUUACCAGAAAGGGACGGCUAACUACGUGCCAGCAGCCGCGGUAAUACGUAGGUCCCGAGCGUUGUCCGGAUUUAUUGGGCGUAAAGCGAGCGCAGGCGGUUAGAUAAGUCUGAAGUUAAAGGCUGUGGCUUAACCAUAGUACGCUUUGGAAACUGUUUAACUUGAGUGCAAGAGGGGAGAGUGGAAUUCCAUGUGUAGCGGUGAAAUGCGUAGAUAUAUGGAGGAACACCGGUGGCGAAAGCGGCUCUCUGGCUUGUAACUGACGCUGAGGCUUGAAAGCGUGGGGAGCAAACAGG
rnacentral:rRNA from 1 species